UUUCGGCGGCGGCAAGGUGAGGUGCGCUAUGUUCUCUUGUGUGGCGGAGCAGGCCCGGGACGUGGGUGGGAGGCUUUCAGCCAGCCGUGAUGACAUUCCAAAUAAAGCACGUGUUAGACUGCUGACGCUGGUGAUGCGAACUGUAGUCUGAGCCGGCUGUCGCGGUGGUGGGUGAGGAAGGGCGGGCGGGUUCACUCCCUCUGACCCACUGCUGUUGCUUUUGCAGGUCUGGCCUUGCGGAGGACGUCGGAUUUAAUCGUUAAUUUCAGCGCUUCCGCACUCCUUAAUCUCCAACCUUCUCAAUAAAAUGAUUUGACCCAGAGCUGGUGUGUGUGUCUGCCUCAUUGGCGACGCGUUGCCUUUGAGCCCCUGCUGCGCCUGCGCGUGGCGCCGGGGGUCAGGCUGCAGCGCCAGAGGACGUGCUCGCGCAUAACUGGGGCCGCCUGCCUCUCGCUGGCGGCCCUUUUAACCGCGAGCUACAUGGCCAUGCCCAGGAUCAGCAUCGAUGCUGCUGAAGGUGGGCAGUUUACAGGGAGGAUUCAGCUGCAGUGUCCUGGGGGAUGACGGAGAUAGCCAUAGGCCCCACUGCGUAUUUUGUGUGGAGAUGAGAACCAACUUCUUGGAUAGACCUCCUACCACAAGCACCAAGUACGUGUGCUCCAGCCUCCUGGAUGUCAAGAUCUAACUCAGGAUUCUCUCUAACCACCUGGACUUUACUUGGAUGUGUAAUUCCCACCUGCUGAGUGGGGAAAAUGGGCUCCUACCCCACCAAGAAGCUGUGAGAAUUAAUCAAGUGGUACGGUCAGAGAAUACAGGACAGAGAAUACCAGUUUGCUACAAAGGGCAGCUGUUAUCACUGGUAGAGGAGUAAUCUUUAGGGUGGAGGAGGAUUGAGAAUAAAAACAGCUCAUCCCAUAAAA